ACUCUUACUUUCUUUUUGCCGUCGUCGUCAGUGGCUUCCAACUUGGCUACCGAUUCGGAAAAGCUUUUAAUUUUUCCCAGUUUUCUUUUCUUUUCUCACCCUACUCUAAACUCCUGGAGAAAGCUGGCUCCUUUCUCCGAACUACUCUCCUAAUUCUCUCUGAGCUAAAAAAUAAUCGUUUCCCUUUUUGGCCUCAUGCCAGCCUUGACUUUUCGCCUCAACUUCUCCUGUGGUGAAUCUAGCCCUUCGCGCAUUCCAGAAUGGACUUCCAAUAGAACCCACUUCUGUCCUGUCAGUUUCGUAUCCCCCACCUGCAGCUUGUCGUCGUUUGUUGUUAUUUAUUUGAGUUAAAUUUUUCGUUCGCCUUCUCGUCUCCAGUAUCGUUUAACGUGGAUUUUCGUCUUAAAGGUUAUUUGUUUGAAGUUUUAUCGUAUCUGUUCUUUGGUGUUCUGUCGAUUUGUCUGUUUGUUCCUUUCAGGAUAUUUUAUUUGGUAGCUGGGAUAUUUGCUAUCAUCAUUCCUUUCGCUGUGGAUUGUGACAGCUUGUUGAUGUCGGGCACCGGGUGUUCCAGAACCACUGCCUAUACCCGAGAUCGCAACAAAACACCUUGGGGCGGAGUAGUUUAGCUCGAUGCGGGACAGGUGGCAACGAUCUCGGCUUCGGACGUGGGGAAGAAAUCCACCCAUAUAGCCGGGCAAUAGGUCGUAUGCCUUAUCCUUGACCUAGUCAACAACUUUUGGAAUCGCUCACGAUUUUCCGACUCCUAGACAACUGUAUCCACCGGAAUCAAAUAUCUUGCUCAAUUAUAUAUAAUAUAUUUGUU